rfam:Nicotiana attenuata strain TT chromosome 1, whole genome shotgun sequence.
GUCCCUUCUGCGACAUCUGAUAUAAUUGGUUUGAUACAGAACAGAUUAGUAUGGCCCCUACGCAAGGAUGACAUGCACAAAUUGAGAAAUGGUUCAAUUUUCU